rnacentral:rRNA from 1 species
GGCCCAACAAGCCCGUAAUCGGUACGGGUUGUGGGAGCAAGAGCCCGGAGUUGGAUUCUGAGACACGAAUCCAGGCCCUACGGGGUGCAGCAGGCGCGAAACCUUUACAAUGCGGGCAACCGUGAUAAGGGAACCUUGAGUGCCUGUAAACGCAGGCUGUUCAGGUGUUUAAAACGCACCUGGAGAAAGGGCCGGGCAAGACCGGUGCCAGCCGCCGCGGUAA